UACAAAUACAAAAUACAAAAUAUAUCUGUAUAUUAUACACAAAUAUAAAAUGAGAAAUAAAAGUAGAAAUCUCCAAAUAAAGUGCAUAGAAAUGGGUAUAAGCAAAUAAAUAUAUAGAAAUAAAUGUAAGAAAAAAAUAGAUAAAAAUAUAUAGAAGUAGAAGCAAGAAUUUAAAUGGGAAAUGAAAAUAGAAAUAAAAUACAGAAAUAAAUAUAGAAAUAAAAAUGGGGAUAAAAUAAAUAGGGAUAUUAAAAAAAAUACAGAAAUAAAUAGGGAUAAAAAUGGGAAUAAUAAUGGAAAUAAAAAAUAGAAAUUAAGAGUGAGAUAAAUAAAUGAGAAAUAUAAGCAGAGAAAAAUAGGAAUUGAAGAAAUGUAAAAAAGAGGAAUAAAAAAUAGAAAUGAAAAUAGAAAUAAAAAUAAAUUAAAAAUAAAUAAAAAAUAGCAAUCGAGGGAGGGGAGGGCCCUGCAUGGAGACAAACCCCAAAUAAAUCCCCAAAAGUGCCCAAAAUGCCCCAAAACCGCGGGGACGAACCCCAAAAUGAGAAUUUUACACCCAAAAAUCCAAAUUAAAUAAAGCCAGGAAAGCGCAGGGCAGGAGGAGCUUUGGGGCUGCAAGGGUUAAUUGUUAAUGAGCUGCCGCUGACUAUUAAUUAAUUCAUUCAUUAAUUAUUUAACCCCGUGCAGGCCGCGGGGUGGGAGCGGGGCUGGGGGAAAAUCCUGAAAAAUCCUUAAAAAACCCCAAAAAUUCCUCAAAAAUCCUGGAAAAAAGGGAAAAGGGCCCCGGGGCUGUCCCCAAUUAACAGCAGCGCAUUCAUUAAUUACCAGCAGCGCAUUAAUUAAUUACCAGCAGCUCAUUAACGACCGCCCUGCCCGCGCCGCCCCUCCGCGCAUGCGCGGCCCCCUCACGCAUUUAUUUCAUUAUUUCCGACCCAAACUGCGUUUUUAAAACAUUUCCCCUCAUUUUAUUCUCAUUUUCUCCUCAUUUUUUCACCAUUUCCCCGCAAAUCAACCCCAAUUUUAAAUUUUAACUCCCGUUUUCCAAACCCAUACCAAAGCGAGGCAUCGAGAGGGAGGAAAAAUCCGAUUUUUUUUCGUUGUUUUCGAGCAAAAAUCGCCGGUUUUUUUUGUAUUUUUAAAGAUUUUUUUUGGUGUUUUGACUUUUUUAUUUAUUUUUUCUUUUUUUUUUUUAAUUUUUUAUUUUCAUUUUUUUUAUUCAUCAUCAUCAUCAUCAUCAUGAAGAAUUCAUUAUUUCCGAGAAAAUAA
rnacentral:lncRNA from 1 species